rnacentral:rRNA from 1 species
AUUGAACGCUGGCGGCAUGCUUUACACAUGCAAGUCGAACGGUAACAGGCCGCAAGGUGCUGACGAGUGGCGAACGGGUGAGUAAUGCAUCGGAACGUGCCCAGUCGUGGGGGAUAACGCAGCGAAAGCUGCGCUAAUACCGCAUACGAUCUAUGGAUGAAAGCGGGGGACCGAAAGGCCUCGCGCGAUUGGAGCGGCCGAUGUCAGAUUAGGUAGUUGGUGGGGUAAAGGCCUACCAAGCCAACGAUCUGUAGCUGGUCUGAGAGGACGACCAGCCACACUGGGACUGAGACACGGCCCAGACUCCUACGGGAGGCAGCAGUGGGGAAUUUUGGACAAUGGGCGCAAGCCUGAUCCAGCAAUGCCGCGUGCAGGAAGAAGGCCUUCGGGUUGUAAACUGCUUUUGUACGGAACGAAACGGUCCGGGCUAAUACCCUGGGCUAAUGACGGUACCGUAAGAAUAAGCACCGGCUAACUACGUGCCAGCCGCCGCCGUAAGAC